rnacentral:rRNA from 1 species
CCCUUAGAUGUUCUGGGCUGCACGCGCGCUACACUGAUGCACUCAACGAGUUUACGAGCUUGUCCGAGAGGAUUGGCUAAUCUUUUUAAAAUGCAUCGUGAUGGGGAUAGAUUAUUGCAAUUAUUAAUCUUCAACGAGGAAUUCCUAGUAAGCGCGAGUCAUCAGCUCGUGCUGAUUACGUCCCUGCCCUUUGUACACACCGCCCGUCGCUACUACCGAUCGGAUGGCUUAGUGAGUUUGAGGGAUCACGUUUCAAGGAUGCUUUGCGUCUUUGGAGUGUGAAAACUCACACAAACUUGAUCAUCUAGAGGAAGUAAAAGUCGUAACA